CUGAAAACUCCCUCCAUACUGGUACACUGCUGGGCAGAUCAAUGUGUCAACUCACUAUCUGCUUAUCAUUGACUGAACACCGGCCCCAGUUUCAGUUUCAAACCAGUGAGGUAUAAACCUCCCAGUCAGUUAGAAAGAACAUUAGAGAGAAUUUAUAGAGAGGAUAAAUACAGAGAACAGAUAGAGAGAAUAUAUAGAGAGGACGGACAGAGAGGACGGACAGAGAGAAUAGAUAGAGAGAACAGAUAGAGAGAAUAGAUAGAGAGAACAGAUAGAGAGGAUAAAUAGAGAGAACAGAUAGAGAGAACAUAUAGAGAGAACAUAUAGAGAGAACAGAUAGAGAGAACAGAUAGAGAGAAUAGAUAGAGAGAAUAGAUAGAGAGAACAGAUAGAGAGAACAGAAAGGAUAGAUAGAGAGGAUGGACAGAGAGGACAGACAGAGAGGAUAGACAGAGAGGAUAAAUAGAGAGGAUCGAUAGAGAGAACAGAUAGAGAGAACAGAUAGAGAGGAUAGAUAGAGAGAACAGACAGAGAGGAUAGAUAGAGAGAACAUAUAGAGAGGACGGACAGAGAGGACAGACAGAGAGAACAGACAGAGAGGAUAGAUAGAGAGAACAGACAGAGAGGAUAGAUAGAGAGGAUGGACAGAGAGGAUGGACAGAGAGGAUAGACAGGGAUAGAUAGAGAGGAUGGACAGAGAGGAUAGAUAGAGAGAACAGAUAGAGAGAACAGAUAGAGAGGACAGACAGAGAGGACGGACAGAGAGGACAGACAGAGAGGAUAGACAGAGAGGACUGACAGAGAGGACAGACAGAGAGGAUAGACAGAGAGGACAGACAGAGAGGAUAGAUAGAGAGAACAUAAAGGAUAGAUAGAGAGGAUGGACAGAGAGGACAGACAGAGAGGAUAGAUAGAGAGGAGGGACAGAGAGGAUGGACAGAGAGGAUAGAAAGGGAUAGAUAGAGAGGAUGGACAGAGAGGAUGGACAGAGAGGAUGGACAGAGAGGAUGGACAGAGAGAACAGAGAGGAUGGACAGAGAGGAUGGACAGAGAGGAUGAACAGAGAGAACAGAGAGGAUAGAUAGAGAGAACAGAGAGGAGAGAGGAUAAAUAGAGAGGAUGGACAGAGAGGAUGGACAGAGAGGAUAGACAGGGAUAGAUAGAGAGAACAGAGAGGAUGGACAGAGAGAACAGAAGAUAGAUAGAGAGAACAGAGAGGAUGGACAGAGAGGAUGGACAGAGAGAACAGAGAGGAUAGAUAGAGAGAACAGAGAGGAUGGACAGAGAGAACAGAGAGGAUAGAUAGAGAGAACAGAGAGGAUAGAUAGAGAGAACAGAGAGGAUGGACAGAGAGAACAGAGGAUAGAUAGAGAGAACAGAGAGGAUAGACAGAGAGGACAGAGAGGAUAGAUAGAGAGAACAGAGAGGAUAGAUAGAGAGAACAGAGAGGAUAGACAGAGAGGACAGAGAGGAUGGACAGAGAGGACAGAGAGGAUAGAUAGAGAGAACAGAGAGGAUAGACAGAGAGGACAGAGAGCACUAAACAUAUCAAC
rnacentral:lncRNA from 1 species